GACAAGGAUAAGCGAAGCAGGAGGCAUAACCUGUGGAAGAAAACCACACGUGAACUGCUGCAGAGUGGUACAGGUGGAAACCUGAACUGACGUAAGCUCAGCUCUAGCUGGACUGAUGCUCCCCGGGGCCAUAACGACACUUAGAGACUGUUAUUUGGCACCUGUAAUUUUGCCAAACUGCGGCCAAGAUCAGAUUGUGCAGCAUUCUCAUCAGCGAGCCCAGGCUGAGCAAACCUUCACGGGAAUUGUCGUGUGCCCAAAUGCUGCGUGGAGCCCAUGGUCCCCUGCAGUAUGCCUUGGCAGUGCCACUAACCUGCAAAAGCGUCAUUCCAUCAUCAAGCUAAGCUGGCAUGUGUAGUGCCUAAGUUUGUCUCGCUUCAGACAGUGGGGCUUCUCAGAGGAUGCAGGGAAGCAGGACUUGGCAUUGAAUUUAUGAUCAUUAUAAAUGGAUUAUGCACCUUGGGCUAGUCUGAUGAAAAUUCAUUAAAAGGAUUUAGAAGCUCCUAUUAUAUA